GAUGAACGCUGGCGGCGUGCCUAAUACAUGCAAGUCGAGCGAACAGACGAGGAGCUUGCUCCUCUGACGUUAGCGGCGGACGGGUGAGUAACACGUGGAUAACCUACCUAUAAGACUGGGAUAACUUCGGGAAACCGGAGCUAACACCGGAUAAUAUAUUGAACCGCAUGGUUCAAUAGUGAAAGACGGUUCUGCUGUCACUUAUAGAUGGAUCCGCGCCGCAUUAGCUAGUUGGUAAGGUAACGGCUUACCAAGGCAACGAUGCGUAGCCGACCUGAGAGGGUGAUCGGCCACACUGGAACUGAGACACGGUCCAGACUCCUACGGGAGGCAGCAGUAGGGAAUCUUCCGCAAUGGGCGAAAGCCUGACGGAGCAACGCCGCGUGAGUGAUGAAGGUCUUCGGAUCGUAAAACUCUGUUAUUAGGGAAGAACAAAUGUGUAAGUAACUAUGCACGUCUUGACGGUACCUAAUCAGAAAGCCACGGCUAACUACGUG
rnacentral:rRNA from 1 species